GAGCUGUCCGGUAAUAGAAAGAAGCUGCAGAACCCUGUUGUCUUCAUCUUUUGUUUAACUCAUGCAACAUUUGAAAGCACGUUUGCCUACAAGAAAUAAAACUUAACUUGUGAAAUGGCUUAUUAAUGAACUCAGAUGACAAGAAACCAAAACAGCGGGCCUGGCUGAAAGAUUCAUCCCUAGCCCUGAAAGCCAGCGGGGUCUUUCUGUAACAUCAAAGGCACAAACAAUUGAACCGACAUGGGGACUUAUUCUGUCCAGCAGCCCUGGUGGCCUCAGACCAUCCGAAGCAAGGGUAACCUACCAGAAAGCUGCUAGAUGUUCCCCACUACAGUGAAGGAUUAAACAAAGAAUGAAGAAGAAGUAGGACUCAAGAAGUAAAUGAUCCAACUCAAGAAAGAGAUGACCAAGUGGAAUACCUUUCAAAGACUUCAAGACUUUUCUUUCCCACUCCUCCCUGCCCACUCGAGGGAGGCUCCAUUUUAAAAUGUAACAGAAAAAAAAAAAACGGAUUUGAAAUAAGGCAUUAGCCUGAGGUAACUUACCCCCACCUUGGCUCCAGAGCAGCUUGGAUUUCCGAUUCUUUGAGCAGGUCAGUGAUUUGGGGAACCAGUAAAAGAGCCGGGCUAUUCUUCUGAAGGUCUCAUGAAAGUCACUUCUUAUGGCCAUAGCGAGAACCAGGAGCGUUCCAGAAUGACUCGCUACAGAG
rnacentral:antisense_RNA from 1 species